CGAAAGCGUGGGGAGCAAACAGGAUUAGAUACCCUGGUAGUCCACGCUGUAAACGAUGUCGAUUUGGAGGUUGUGCCCUUGAGGCGUGGCUUCCGGAGCUAACGCGUUAAAUCGACCGCCUGGGGAGUACGGCCGCAAGGUUAAAACUCAAAUGAAUUGACGGGGGCCCGCACAAGCGGUGGAGCAUGUGGUUUAAUUCGAUGCAACGCGAAGAACCUUACCUACUCUUGACAUCCAGCGAACCCUGUAGAGAUACGGGGGUGCCUUC
rnacentral:rRNA from 1 species